CCGCCCUCCGCAUUCCCCCGCUCUUUGUUUCUCCGCGUUUCCGAGUUGGGCUGCCUUUCCCCGGGGGAGGCAGUUAACUUAAUGAGGUAGCGCUGCUCUGAUUGUUUCAGGAGAUGCAGGCGGUGCCCAUCCCCGCGCCCGGCCCCGUCCGAUCCCGCCGGAUAAAUCACGCUGAUUUAAAAUUGAUCGUUCUGGGAUGUGGGAGAAAGUGGAGUGGGCGGAUUUACCCUAUUAGGGUGCAUUGAUCACCAUUACUGCGUGUAAUCAGGGUUAAUCUCAGGAUUAAUUGGGGGGAUUUGCUGAUGGAAACGAUCGGCAAUUUGUGUUAGUUACUGCUCUAUUCGCCUCUAAUGGCUUAAUCAGAUUACAAAUUAAAAGUGGCUUCUUCCAGAGAAUCUCCCUGGACUUGAGCAGCAGACAGAGCGUGAGGAGGGAGGCGCAUCCAGAGCAUAUGGUUUGCAGCCCGGAGCUCAAUUAGCCCGACAGGAGGAUGGAUGGGAGAGCACUGCGUGCCCGGGGCCGGGCUGGGAACCCCUCCGAAGCACGGGGAGCUCCUGGCGGUGCGUUUUGUUCGAUGGUUUCUCUGGGCAGGGGGAGAACCCGGCCCUCAGCGUGUGCUGUGCUCAGAGCAGCAUCUGGUGGGGGCUGCGGGCUGCGGAAGCGGCACUCGGCUGUUGUGUCACACGGAAAAUCUUUUGGAGGGAACGGGUGGAAUUUCAGCUCGGCAAACCAUUAAAAUAGCAGUGAUCCUGCACCAAAUAAAUUAAGGCUGAUGAUCUGAGACUGGUAAAGCUAAUGAUAGAAAGGGGUCCUGUCCUGGGGAGAGAUUUGUCUAGCAGGAGCUGAGCUGAGAGCAUCUGAACUCCAUUAGCACUGAGGGCUAUAAAGGCAGCACAGUCUGCCCGUGAGCACCUCGGCUGGAGGGUGUGGGAGCCCUGCAGUGGUACCACUCAUCUCACGUGGGGAUGCAGCACCCACCAACAGGUCACAGCAGGGAGGGAUUUGGAGCUGUCAAGCCCGGCUCCCUGUGUGAAAGCACAAAAUGCAUCUUUGGUUUGGAAGUCUGCUCCCAUUACUUCACCCUUGCAGGUGGGGUUGGUUCUAAGUGGGGGGGGGGGGGCUCAGCUCGUUCCUCACCUGGGCUGAUAUCGGUUGGGUUUGUGAUACGUGGCAGUCAGACAGAAGUGUUGGGGGUCUAUUUAUUCUGCUGUUUAUAAAGACAUUUGCAAACCUGAGGGGGGGAAAAAAAAAGAAAGUGAACGUUUCAAGUGGCUGCUGACAAGUUAGAGCAGUUUAAUAAAUCACUCAUAAUAAACUACUUUACGUGUGGAGAGAAACACCACGGACUUCUUUAAUAAGCCAUUCAUGAUGGAGCAGGCAACGCUUAGAGAACAGAAAUUCAUUUGUGGGUCUUGGUGAUGUGUUCCCACUGUUCCCUGCUGCGAAUCUCUUGCCAGGUAUGUCUGCGUCGGUGCGCCCAUCUGGGCUGCGUGUAAAUCUGCUGCUAAGUCUGUAACUCACAGGGAGGGCAUCUCUGCCAGGAGCCGCUGCUCAUCAAUUACAGGCAGAGCGGGACAGGCAGCCCAUUCCUCACUCCCUGCCGACACCACGGCCUCUUCCACAGCCGCUUUAUCUCCCACUGAGCUGGCCCAGACGAAGCCUUUUACAGGGAGUGCAUCAGGCAGCCCCAUGCUUCUGCUGUUGCUCUAAACCCACAUCUCACUUUGGAUUAUGUAAUGGCACUCCCUGCUUUUAGUGCAUCCAGCGGAGGCAGCUGCUGCCUGUCACUUUUUCCAAGGCUUGGAAAUGCAGAUGGACCCUGUGGGUCAUGAGGCUGCAUUUGUGGAGGGGAGAGGCAAAGAGCAGACUGCGUUUCGGGACUGAAAAGCGUGUUCGGGUGCAGAGGGGCAUCUGUGGAUCCUGGUGGUGCUGGGGCUGCCCGUGGGAUUUGACCCAGGACAGCUUGUUGAGCUGAGCCCCUCGCAGUACCCAGCAGCAUAUAUAAGAAAGUGCUCCAAAAUCAGGCUGGAUGCUGGUGGAGGUGAGCGUUACUGUGGUGAGGUCAGGGUUCCUGCUGCAUCACAUUGCUUGGGGGAAAGCCUGGCCCUCCGGAGCCUAUUGUAUGGAGGGGGGAAGGAGAACUUCAUUUUUCUCUUAGUCUUCAGACUCAGCUUAGGUUGGGGGAUCUGCAAGUGCUUUGUGCACGCCAGGCUUUUAAAGGGACCUGAUGGCGGCUUCGGAAAUGUCAGGCAUUGUUCUGUCUAUCCUGGAGCAAUUGUAAGAAAAGGUGAAAAAAGCACUGCUCAAAUAGAGGCGAGACUCCGACUUGACUUUGAACACUGCCUUUGUUAUUGUGCUCCUCGGGCUAUGUGGUGUUUUAUGAAGGCCCUGCAAGAAAUUGCAAUAAAUAUCUCCUGUUUCUAAUGUACGUACCUUCAGAAAUGCAAACAAAAAAGGAGGAGAUGGUCAGCAGUCCUCGCGCACAUUUAGUUGUUGCAAGCUAAGGAUUCCAGGGGAAACAGCACAAUAGGAUCUGUAGAAACAUUUCCUAAGUGGAAAAAAUAAGCAAUUAUUCUUAAAUGAAAUGACUAUGUUAGUAUUUCUUUUUAGCAUGUACACGCUGACAUAUGGUGUAUACGAGGACACCUCUCCCUCCUCGCAGCGUUGGCUCUGAGGAGACACAACUGUGUCUGAGUGCUUUCCUCUGCCAGGUGCAGCUCCUGAAACCCCUUGGCAAGAGUGAGUGGGGCUGCUCUGCUAUUUGUUUUCUACUGUUUCUUUAUUAAAAAGCUCCAGAGCCAGGCAGGCUUGCUUUGUUCAGUACUUUAUUGCUGCCUCAGUUCACCCUGCCUGAUAAACGCAUUGGCUGGUGCCGGAGCAGGGCGCUCCUUCUGGCUCACCAUGCUGCCAUUCUUCCCUCUGCUGCCAACGUGAGGACCAGGCCUUGGGGUGCUCAGCACCGGCCCUUGUUCCCACAGCUUUGCUUCCCUGGCCAGGAGAGCUCUUGGCUGCUGCUUGGUGGGUGAGCCACACGCUUUUAUGGUCGCGAUUAUUGCUCUGUGCUCCUCUCUCCAUUUUGGAGGAGGUUGAAGAGAAAGCACUCAGAAAACAGUUUUGGUGCUUGGCAAGGCGGCUGGAGACCCCAUCUGUUGCUUCUUACAUUGUUAAGCUGCUCUUUGCUUCCCAUGCCAGCCUGGUUUCUGUUAAAUGAAGCCUCCCCAGGUCACGAGAGCCAAGCGGUUCCUAAAUUAGCAAAGACAUUAAUCAGGUCCCAUUUGGACUAGUGCAGGGUGUCUACGCCCUCACCCUACCCUCCAUAAAUUAAGCAGGUUUUAUAUCUUCAAGGCUCUUCUGGAAUUAUGUCCUUUCUGCCCUCCACCCCCUUCUCAAUUGCUGGUGACAAGUAUACACAGCUUAAUUGGUUGGCAUGGAAAAGGGCUGACAUUAAUUGGCUGUGUUUGGCACACAGACUCCCCAUCUUGCAGCGCCUCCCAGGGAUCUUAUCAACCCCAUCUCCGAGCCCAGCAGCUCACAGCUUGCCUGCCAACUCAAUGGGGUUUGGUUCUGUGCUUCCGAUGACUGAGAUUUUGCUUGGCUUCCUGGAGCUUUGGCUGGGGAAGAGCAGCUCUCACACCACAGCUGGCAGUGCAUGAGGGUGGGAGGGAUCUGCAGGCAUCACAGCCCUGCAGGGUGCCUGGCUCUGCACCUCCCCCCCUUCUUCUGUAGGGUAGGUGCUGAGUGGGCACCCAGCUCCUGCCCCACAGCUUCUCCAUGAGUCCUCCCAGGUUCAGCUUCCACGCAACCCCUCCCAUGCACUUAUACAGGGUAGGAAAUGAGCUGUACGUUCACGCUCUUGGAAGCUGUGAGUAUGUGUAUGUUGGGCCUCUGACAAGUUUAAAUAGCUAAUUAACUUAUUUUAAGGAACCACUAAAUUUGUCCCUUAUCCUGAUUGGUUUUUUGCAUGCCUCUCUUUACCUGAUUAAUUCUUAGCCCAUCUUCGUAAUUAACGGCGUGAAAGAGAGCAGCUGUUCCUCCUCCAAACAAUCUUUUCACCAUCAGGGAACAAUUCCUGCACUGGGAUGGGCAGGAAGUUUCUGGUAGCUCUAACUAUAAAAAUAAUUUGAUGCUUCUUUUAUUACCUGGUUAUGACUGCCUGUUUUCACUGUACUUACCUAAUAGGGUCCUAAAUAGCCCUGAAUCCCUCCUCGGUGCCAUCAGCAGUGCUGUAUCAGCGCUGGUGGCUGAGCUUAAUGGCACUGGGAGCGAUGAGGCGGUGCUGCAAAGCAGAGCACGGUUGGGAGGGUGGGAUUGGGCAGCUCUGCUCUACGGGAGAUUCUGUUGUGGGUUUCUUUAAUUCAGAUGUGUGACAUCUUCCCUUCAGUUUGAUUUCUUUUUUCAAAUGACACUUUCAGGCUCCCACCUCCCAUGGGCUUUCCAUGAGCACCUGAUAGCAGCGUGUCAGGAGGCUGAACAAUAUUCAGCCCAAGUUCCCUUUUAUUAAAGCGGUCCCCUCGCUCUUAGCAGCGUGUAGGAGCCUUCUUCCCCCACUGUGGUUUUGCACUCGGGCUGUUUGCAGGGUGCUGUCAUCCCCUCCUCCGCUGCUGCUUGCCUGAAGAAGGCAGAUACUGCUCUUAAAACACUUCUGUACAAAUUCCUCCGGCCUUUGGAUCACUGCAGCCUCCCCUUAAGCUCCUCUCAGUCUAUCAGUAUCUUCUCUGGUAAUUAUAUGUGUAAAGAGCAGACGAUGGCUCCGUUUUAAUAGACCCACUCCAGCCCAGUAUAAACACGGCAACACCUAUACAGAAAACAGCCCCCAGCCCUACUUGGAGAGCUUUCUGCUCCAUCCCCAGCUACCUUCUCCCAUGGGGAGUGCAUGAGGAGCACGAGCUGCAGCUGAUGGCUCCUGGCAGCCCUUGGAGGGCAGCAGGGUGCAUUUCACACCAAGGCAGUGCCAAGGGGUGCGGGCAGUACGGUUGGCUUGCUCACCCUCUGAGCCUUGUGGAUGUAAAAUUGAAUGCAGACAAGCAUCCAUGAGGUGUCUAGGGACUCUUGGGGGUCUGUGAGGGCUGUAGGGGCUCUCUCCUGGCCAGGACUGCUGAGUGCUAACAUUAUCCUUCCCCAAAUGCAGGAAAGAGCCUGUAGAGGAAAUGCUAAGUCACAGCUUGAUGCAGUGAUGGAGCACCUGGUGGGAAGGCAGGGACAGCCCAGAGGAGCACAGGUGUAUGCAAUGUGCCUGAGUGAUGGAAGCCAGGAUCCACCUCUUCCCAGAUCUCAUUUAAGGGUUGGCAGUGGAGGUGAGGGUGUCUUGCUGGAGAUCCCUGCCUACCUGAGACCUUCCAAAGGCCAAUGUCAGCUGGAUGAGCUCCCAGCCUGCUUCCUGGGACAGCUUGGGAGAACAGACAGCAGAGUGCAGUGUCACCGCUGCAUGGACUGCACGGAGAUGCCCCGAGUGCUGCCCAAUGCACGCAGCUGUCACCCUGCCUUGCUGCAGGCAUCAGCCCAGGCAGUUGUAGAGAAUGAUGAGGUCUCCCCUGAACCUCCAGACUGACCCAUCCCAUUCCCUCAGCUGCACCCCACAAGACUGGUGCUGCAGACCCCUCACAGCUCGGUUGCCCCUCACUGGAUGUGCAGCCACCAAUUGCUCAUAUGGUGCAUUCAACAACCGCAGGCUGCAGGGUUAUUCCUCAUACAGAAAUUGUUUGUGCUGUGACUUCAGUUCCAUUUGGUGUUGGCGGCAGUUCCCAGCCCAUGCAUUUUGACACGGAUUCUCCAACCGCUUGUAAACGCUUCCAAGCAAGGAGGAAGGUGGUGGGAAGCACAGCGCCUUGCUGCAGGCAGGAGCACAGCUGGGGAGCAGGGCAGGGAGCUGAGCCUGCCUGUCCUCACCUCCUUAUCACCACCAAAAUGGUAGGGAUGGCUGCUGCAGGCCUGGAGGUGGGUGAGCAUGGAAGGAAGGGAUGCAGAAGGACCAGCGUGGUGCUGUGCCACAUGGGAGCAGCAGAAGACAACAGGGUAAGGCAGCACAGGCAGUGCCAAUACCACCCCCCUGCUCUCUGAAACCCCCACUGAUCAGCCCCCUAUUUACAUGAAUAUGAAAUCCACUUGCAGCUUCCUAAAUAAAACAAGAACUCUUUUCUGUAGCAGAGCAUAUUACAGCCGUUUGUCACCGCAUCAUCCAGUAGGUAUUAAUUCCCAAAUCAGUUUAUGACAUGUUUUAUCAUAAGUUACUGGAGAAGGUAGCUGCAUUGAGCAAUCAUUUGAUAAACUGCACCAUAAUUUAACAUGCUCCUCCGUCAUAUUAGUGGGGAGCAAGAUUUAUUUCCUUCGUGUGACUUUAAUUAUGGAUAAUGCAAAGCAGGGAUUGAGGCGGCCGUGCUGCUGAGGUUAGCAGUGCCCUCUGUGGAGCAGAGUUUGGGUGAUGUGUGGCUUCUGUAGGACCAGGGGGUGACAAAGGUGGCUCUGGGUCAUCAGUGGCAGCUCAUCAUGGCUCAUCACGGCUUGGCACAGCUUAGCAUAGCUCAGUAUGGCUCAUCGUGUCUUGGCAUGGCUUGGCACGGCUCAACAUUACUCAACAUGGCUCAGCAAGGCUCAAAUAACUCAACGUGACUCAGCAUGGAUCAGGUGGCUUCCUUGUUCCCACAUGGGUGAGGAAUCCAAGCCAUUGAACCAUCCCAGGGCUCUGUUUGCUGCUGUCCCACCCAGGAAGGCUCCAGGUGCAGAAGGAUGCUGCACUCCUCCCUCUGCCCUUCAGCCCAUCCCUGCUGUUGGGCUAAAUUCUGGAUUACUGAAGAGUACAGGGCACGAGGGGGUGCAGAGCACAGAGGGAAGAGAUGCUGACACACACUGAGCUGAUGUCAUUUCUUUUAGUCAGGAGCUGGAGAAACACAAUCCAGUUCUCUCCCCCCACAACAGAACAAAGGAGAAAGUCCCCAAGGGGAGAUUAAAAAUAAAAACCCACAAAACGAGAGGAGAGGAACAAAAAGAAAGAAGAAAGGAAAGGACAAAGCCCUCCUCCCCUGAAGUAUCCCCUCUCUGUGUCUGACAGCUUCUCCCUUCUGCAGCUCCCAGCCCCGCUCAACCUUACAGUGCCAUAAAACAGAGUUUGUGGCGUGUUCAAUCGAUUAUUCCUCCUAAUGCACUGUUUUUGGAGACAGGUAAUUUAUUUCAGAUUCUACAUGUCUGCAUGCAAAAAAAAAAAAGAAAAAAAAAACUCCCUUUUUUCUCUUUCUUCCCCUUUUUAUUGACAGGCAUUUUUUGCCCUGUGCCCCCAUUCCCUCCUGCCCCCCUCUGAACCCCCUCAGACGCAGUGUUUCCCAGUGGAAGCUGCAGCCAUUCUCACAGUGAAACCCAAGGCAGGUAAUGACUUUCUCACCCCAUCCAUACUGCAGCAGGAACUGCUGCCUCUCCAGCUGCAUCCCUUUAUUUCGGACAAGGGGGAGGGGGAGGUGCCAGCUCUCUCCUCUUCCCUCUCCUCAAAGGUCUCUUUAAAAAGGGAGAAAAAAAAAAAAGAGAUGUAAAGGGAGCAAGUGUGUGCAGAAAUGGCGUUUCCAUUAGGUGAUGGGUUUGGGGCAGUAGGCAUACCAUGCCUCAAAGGGUUUCCAUGCUACGUAAGCUCUGGUCUCCCUGGAUCUGAGGAAAUUGCCCAUCCUGUGCAGCUUUACUGUGAAAAGCCCCAGAUCGAUCGGUCUGUAAUUCCUUUGGUUAUAAUUUGCCUCUCCAGACUGGUGGAGGAGCUGAGCCUCUGUGGGGGCAUCUCGAGGGUGGGACAUGGCCACUGUGGGAACUCCUUGAGACUGAGCCCCUGGCUUUGCUAUUGUUUCCAAUUAGGGGAGUGGGAGAGAUUUUGAUCACAUAAUGAAAAAAGCAUUGUGAGGGGAAACAAUAAAUAUCAGGGAACAGGGGAGGAAGAGGGAGGGAGAUACUGACGAAAAACGUAAACUUUGCCAUCCACCAGCCCUGUAUUGCUGGGGCUCAGUGAAACCCUAACCCUGCUCUGCUGAAGCAAUCACCCCUGUCUGAAACAGGCGAAUUCCAGGAGCUGGGGCUGCAGCUCUCUGGGGCUGAGGCUGCCAGGGUAGCUGUGCAGGGUCCAAAUCUCUGCCCCAAAUCCCUUUGCAUGGUCACAGUCCUCCCUUUUCCCCUUCCCGCAGCAAUGUGCCACUUCUGAGACCUCUCAGCACCCAUUACAAUGGUUUGUUCAAUGAGGAGGGAUGCAUGCAGACCAGCAGCCGCUUCAUCCUCGCUACUCUGGCCCAUCCCUCAGCCCCAUGCCCACAGAUUGGGCCAUCCUCAGCUCAGAACUGACUCUUCCCAUGUCCGUGGGCUGCUCAUGGCCUGCUGCUAGCAGCAGGAGGUUUCCUCUCUGCCUUUCAGAGGCUGGAAAAGAACAGGGAAAUCUUUCCCACUCAAGCAGCAGGUGCAUGUGCGGUCAGCUCACGUCCCGUGGGCUCCCGGCUGUAAUUUCAAGCACGAGCAUGUUGCUGACUGGGGAAUUGGGGAACAGCGAGGGCAGGAGGAAUGUUUUGCUCAGGAAGCUAUAAGUACACUUUAGGAGGUUUGGGACUGAGGACAGGGGCAGCCCUGUGCUCCCUUUGGCUCAUGCUACUCCCACCACUGCCUGUCUUCAUGGCAGCUCCUCAGGAUCAAAGCCUGCCUGAGCCCUGUGCAUCUGCCUGCUGCUCUGGGAUGGGACCCUGGGCCAGGUGGAUGCUGCCAGCCUUCAGACACUGCCUACAGAUCUCCCACCUCUGAAAGGAACUCAAUAAAGCGGGACUGGUGGAGCAAUUAGGAUGCAAGUCCCUCAUCACACCUUCUCACUAGGGGUCCCAAGGUGAGCACAGGGACAAACCUGGUGAGUGCGGUGUGGGGCUCAGCACAUAAAUGGCAGCCACUCAGCUGCACUGUGCCAUCCCUGUGCCUGUGCACCACAUCCUCACCACCACAGGGACCUGGAUUUGGCAGUGAUGAGUGUUUUGUAGCCAUCAUAUGCUGUGGGUGAGGCAGAGCUAAGGGCCUUCCUAUCCUCUUGGCCGCAUCUCCUCCAACAGCCCCUGAACGCAUCAAACUCCAUCCCGUCUGUGCUCUUGCAGCCAAUCAUCCACUUGCAUGCUGGGGGCUGUGCCAGCAGUGCAUGGAUCUGCUCAGCACCUCAGCAGCAGCUCAGCUUUGGGGUGCAGGUGAGUCAGCAAUCUGCUCUGCGCAGUGGUAUUUCUAUGUUAAGCUGCUGAAGUUUUGGUAAAUAUACAGCCAUGCACCAGGAGCCUGCAAGACAAACCAUCUCGUUGGGAAUUUGGAGGAGAACAACAAAAAUGAUUAAGCGGCUGGAGGGAUUGACUUAUGAAGAGAGAUUAAAAGAGCUAAAUCUGUCUAGCUAGGCUACCCGACAUCCGUGGCGAGAUCUGAUAACUAUCUACAAGGAUAUGAGGGGCGUAAAUCACAGCUUGGGGGACUGGUGGGGGGCAGCCCUGGGAGAUUACUGGCAGCAACAGCCGUAAGUGGAGCACAGGAAAAAGCAUCAUCUAGGAGAGAUCUGGUGAGGGCUGCCGGGCUGGAGCAAAGUACAGGGACAGAACCCAUAUCCAGCCCUGAGGCAGCACCAGCAGUGAGUUGAGGAAUCCCUCCAGCUCCUGGGAACACAGGCUGGGAUGCUGGCAAUGGAGGGGCUUAAGUCUCUGUCAGUUAAAUGCAGCCCUGGAGGAGAGUGCCAUGUUACGGACAGCCAGGGAUGUGUGCCCAUUUUGGUAGGGAUGGCACAGUGAAUGCUCCCUGUGUGCUGUGAUCUGCAGCAAAGCAAAAGAAAAUACCAGCUGUGGAAACUGGAUUUUCCACAGGCAGGUGCUAGGUACGAGAUGUGAGGUCUGAUGGAGGCUUGUUAAAACACUCGCUGGGAUUUUUCACGGUGCAGCCAACACCAAAAGCUGAUUCAUUCCCAUCGAUCUCAUAGAGCAGUGCCACUCACAUGAGCACCUCAGAGCCAAUGGGACAACCUGAGCGUGUCCCACUGAGAGAGAGCAGCGUAGGUCAGCUCCUCAGGUGGUUCAGGGCUGCUGCAGGGGGAUCACAUCUCCGGCUGAUGAUCUCCAACUGCCUUCAGGAGAUGAUGGCAGAGCUGCCUUCACCCAGGGAGCAUCCCCAGGCUGGAGAAGCAGAGGGUAAAGCUCAAGUGAUUUUGUGAGGUUCAGUGACAACCUGGCUUGGCACUGCCUUGUGGCUUUGCUGCUGCUCUGGAGCCACUGGAGCUGCUGGGGAUGAGGGUUCCUGGUGGACUCUGUACGCUCCACAAACAGCAGUGCCAUGGCUCUGUCCAAAAUGAAUUCCCAUAGAGCUGAACAGGGAUGCUGAGGAAGCAUCCAGAGAUGCAGCAGCUGACAAAUAAAGGGAAUAUUUCUGAUGGUUUCAGGUAAUGCUCAGCUCCCACACACUGCUACAUCUGAUUAGGUUUUAGGAACAUUUAAUCUGCACUCUUUCUCUAGCAAGGUUUCAGCUCCAUUCCUGCAGUUGUCCCUCCUGUCUGCUGCAUGGCUGAGCUGCAUCCCCCUGUCCCUGUCCUCCCCGUGCCCCGGCACCACACCCAACCUCCCUGUGUAUGCUGAGCUCCAGCAGCUUGUGCUGGGAGCUGCUGGCUGGGACCAGCCGGAGGCAGGGAGCAGACAAGGGCUCAGUGCUGCCCAUGGCCAUGUGCCUGUUGUUAUGCCUUUGCCAUCUUCCAGCCAAGGCACCCGCCCAGCACUAGCUGAAAUGGGUGGAAACUCCCUUCAAUCAGCAGUGCAUGCUGCAGCAGCAUAGGGCUAACAGAGUAAUUCACACUGAAUAAUUCACUCGAGACUUUUCUACUCCAGGCAGUUCAUAAUUCCUCAUGUGGAGCAGUGUUUGCGUUUGCAGAAAUGAGAGCUGUGCAGCUUCCCCCUGCCCACGUCCCCAGGAGUUUCUCUAUUUGCUGCCUGGAUGAAUUACUCAGUGCCGGGGUGCGCUCCGAACCCGACAGCUGGGUGGCUGAGGGGGCACUCGUGUUUACUGUUGUUUAUUUUCUCAAAUAUUUGUGUAUCACAGAAGCAAAAAUGAACCAGAGGAAAGCUGCCCAGCGGUGCUCAGGAAGAUGAAUUUCCCAUCCCUGCAGCGGUCUUCAGCCCCACCUGCAGCAUCCCGUCUGCAGGGACCAGUGCCAAGCCCUGUGCUCCCCUCCCCUCCAUGUCCUGGGCUCUGGACCCCCAGAGCAGUGCAGCUCUUCACAUGGUGACCUGCCCAUAGGAGCUCCCAAGCCUCUCAUCUCUCUUCCCACAAGCCCAGGCUUUCCAAAUGACAAAUUGUUUUUGCCUUUAAUUCCAGCUUGCCUGGCAUCCUCAACGGCAGCAGCCCUCCGCAGAAAGCAGCAGGUUCUUUACAGCCAGCGGGAGGUGGCUUUUCCUCUUCUCUCCUCUCUCUCCCCCUUGCCUUAAUUGCAGCCCAACAUGGGCUUUCGAGGUGUAUUAAACAUACAAAUUAUUCUGCAAAGCCUCAUGAAGCACCAGUUACCAAGGCCUCUAAUGGGAAAUGACAGCACAACCAGAGCAGCCGUUAAGGCACAGCACUGUCUGCAGCAGCUCUGGCAGCGCAGGCUCUCUGCGGGCAUGGGGUCCCUGCAUGGGCACCCCCAAGGAUGGGGGGCUCUCAGCUUCCCCACCUGUACCUGCAAUAUUGCAUUCGGGGCUGGAAUGAUGCUGAUGGAUUGGAGAGAGUUCAGAGGAGAGCCGGGAAUGUAAUCAAGGAGCUGGAGGGCAUGAUUUAUAUGGCAAGUUUAAAAGGGCUGCAUAAUAGCAACAAUAAUAAGCGCUCACAGCGCGCAGUGGUUUUCAUCUUUGCACUCAAACGAAGCUAACUUAUACUACGCCCAACUGCAUUAACAACUUAACUGCAUCUAGCUCAGCCUGUCGAUUGCAGGAGGGAUAUGAGAACCAUCUACAGGGCACGUCAGAGCCCAAGUGUCACAGAGCAGGGGAGUGGGCUAGGUUGGCCCAGGGGGCUGCAGAGAGCAGCAUAAAAGCACGGACAUGAGAAAAAGGAAAUGCAGGGUGAACAUCAGGAAAAACUGGCCUGCAGCAGGGAAGGGGGGCUGAAUGAGGACCUGACGGUAUCCUGCAGUGGUGAUGACACAGCAGUGACAUGGGGAUGGGUCUUCCCAUGGUGCUGGAGUGCCCCAUCGCAGGGCACAGCACAUACCCAACCUGUGCCACCACAUCCCUCCCCCUGCAGCAGCGGGAGCCAGGGCAGUGAUUUAUUGCUCCACUCCCAGUGCUCUCCCAUGAGGAAGCCGAAGCUCAGUGGUCUAAAUAUAGGGCAGUGGAACAAAGGCAAAGGUGCUGGGAGGGGUAAAUGGCCACAGGGAGAAUUUGUCCUGUGCCACCACGUGGGCAGCUGCUCUGUCGGUGACAGUGGAAGCGGGCAGGGAAAGUCCCUACCAACGAUAAUCCAACAAAGCAGAGGGAAAUUAAAAAAAGCACCUCGUUUUGCAAGCUCAUUCAUUUCGAGCCGCUCAGAGGACUGCAGGGGAAAGAUAAAUGUGGAUCCAGGCAGAGGGGAGCAGGGCAUGGCUUGAGUCUGCAGGAAGAUUUAGGGCCUUGAAGUCCAAAAGCAGGGCUUGAUCGUCGCAUGAGGAAAGAAAAAUCUCUGGGAGUGGAUAUCAUGUUAAACAAUGUGUUGUAAUAAGUGUUUUAUGCUUUAGAGGAGGAGAGAGAACAGUGAAAUCCCCCGUAAGAGCUAAUUACUGCAAAUUCCUUUUCAAUAAAACAAGACCAAAAAAAAUCCCCUCUUAAUGGAAAAAUCCAUUUAACGCUCAGAUGAGGUAACUGCAGUUCAUGUCCUCACCGCGUUGUUAGUGGAAGUCAGAUGGGUUCUCCGGGCUCUGUGGCUGGGGAGCAGGUGUGGGGCUGAGGUGUGGCAGUGUGGGGCAGGGACACCCCCAGGGCUUUGUGGUGCACCCAGGAGACAAUGAUGGAGCCGGGGGGACCCUUGGGGUUUGCCUGCAGUGGGACACAGGCAGGACUGGGGGCACCCCUGUGUGGCAGCACCCUGAGAUCCUCUGACACUGCACUGCAGGUCCAACCCAAUUAAAAUGAAAUGAAGAAUUGAAUUAAGAGUGGAUUUACCUCCUUGUCUGAUAGUCUGUAUUUCCCUGUGACUUGAAUUGAGGCCGGUCUGAUGGAUUUCUUGCACAUGGGAGCAAUGUAUUGAAUUACAUGUAUGUCCAGUAUUUAGGAGAGAUACAUUUCUUUUCCACAUGUUCAUGCAGCUGCAUGACCCCAGGAAACCCAGCAGUGGGGUCUGUCUUUGGAGACAAAUAGGGAUUGUUUCGUGUGUGUGUGUAAAUACCUCCCUCCCCCUCUGCUCCCCAGACUGUGUGUGUGUGUAUGUGUGUGUGUGUGUGCGUGUGUGCAUGCACGUGCACCGGGCACUGCUCCCCACUGAACAUAUCCUCAUGCCUCCCAAGCCAACCAGCACAAGAACAGCAAUUCAUUCACCACAAGCCCAUGGGAUGGAAAUAUUUCUCGCCCUCUCCCCUGCCCCAGGGAUAUCCCGGUGCUGGGGCUGCUUUGCUGCCCUAUGCAUGGAAGGAGGAGCAGAGCACACCGUGCUCCUGGGCAGCAGUGCCUGCAUCCCCCUCGCUCAGCGAACCCACGGAGAGGGAUCCGCCCCAGUGGGAAGGAGGAAGAAACCCGUCCUGUAGGAAUCAACGUGGGAGUGGCUGCGGCUCUUCCAGCUGCUGGCAUUCAAAGGGAUCUGUCCUUUUCAUCCCCCGUGCCAUCAGUCAGCAGCCGCAGGCCGGCCAGAAAGGAAGGAGGCUUUGUUGAUAAGAUCUGGAGCUUUUGAGAAAAUAAAAGCAGA